rnacentral:rRNA from 1 species
AACAGUAGGAUUGAAUUUUUUUGGUUUCAUAAAUUUGUUAAUUAAUGGCUAUAAUUAGAAAUUUAUUAGGUGAAAUUUUAAAUUUUUAAAAAGCUAAAUUUAUUGGGGAAUUGGGAAAUUUAGGCACUAAACUAGGAUUAGAGACCCUAUUAUUCUAAACGUUAAUUUAUAAGGCCAGAUUAGUAUUAGCUAUGUUCUUGAAAAUUAAAAAUUUUGGCGGUAUUUUAGUCUAUUCAGAGGAACCUGUCCUAUAAUUGAUGAUCCACGAUAAGAGAUACUUUUUCUUUAAGUUUAUAUAUCGUCGUAGUUAGAGUAUUUUUAUAGAAAAUAAAUAUUCAUGAUUUUUUUAGAAAGGAAAUCAGAUCAAGGUGUAGCUUAUGAAAAAGGAGAGAUGGGUUACAUUAAAUUUAUUUAUUGGGAUUAGUUAGUUUAUUUAACUAUGAAUAUGGAUUUGAUAGUAAUUUUAAUUAUUUUUUUAAAGUGAUUUUAGCUCUAAAAUAUGCACAUAUCGCCCGUCGCUUUCACUUUAAAGUGAAAUAAGUCGUAACAAAGUAGGCUUACUGGAAGGUGGGCCUAGAGGCGAGUCAGAGCUUGAUUAGGAAGCGUUUUAUUUACAUUAAAGAGUUAGUUGUGAAAUUCAAUUUGACUUGAUUUUUACAAAUUACUUGGUUUAUUUUUUUUUGUUUUGUUUUUUGAAAAAUAUAUUUUUAUUUAUUAUUUUUUAGAAUAAUUUUUUUUUGUGAUAGUUUACUAGUACUGUGAAGGAGUUUUUAAGAAAAAAUAAAGAAGGUUUAAUUUGCU